GCUCAGGACGAACGCUGGCGGCGUGCUUAACACAUGCAAGUCGAGCGAGGCCCAUCUUUCGGGGUGGUGCCCUAGCGGCGAACGGGUGAGUAACACGUGGGCAACCUGCCCUCAGCUCUGGGAUAACUCCAAGAAAUUGGUGCUAAUACCGGAUAUGACUACUGGCCGCAUGGUCUGGUGGUGGAAAGAUUUAUCGGCUGAGGAUGGGCCCGCGGCCUAUCAGCUUGUUGGUGGGGUGAUGGCCUACCAAGGCGACGACGGGUAGCCGGCCUGAGAGGGUGACCGGUCACACUGGGACUGAGACACGGCCCAGACUCCUACGGGAGGCAGCAGUGGGGAAUAUUGCGCAAUGGGCGGAAGCCUGACGCAGCGACGCCGCGUGAGGGAUGACGGCCUUCGGGUUGUAAACCUCUUUCACCCACGACGAAGCGAAAGUGACGG
rnacentral:rRNA from 1 species